rnacentral:rRNA from 1 species
UACGGAGGAUGCGAGCGUUAUCCGGAUUUAUUGGGUUUAAAGGGUGCGUAGGCGGGCUUAUAAGUCAGCGGUGAAAUCUCCGGGCUCAACCCGGAACCUGCCGUUGAAACUGUAGGUCUUGAGUACAGAUGAAGUAGGCGGAAUUCGUUGUGUAGCGGUGAAAUGCAUAGAUAUAACGAGGAACUCCGAUUGCGUAGGCAGCUUACUAAACUGUCACUGACGCUGAAGCACGAAAGCGUGGUUAUCAAACAGG